GCAAGGCGAGAACCAUCGAGCGUGCCAGGGGAGCGACUUUAAAGGGAUGAUAUUGAAGGACCUCUCUGAGGAUGUGUGGUGAACAGCAAGAAGGGCCUGCCGUGCACAAAAAUCUAGGAAAAGAACAUUCUAGGAGAAGAGACCUGCCAGCGGAGAGGCCCUAAGACAAGACUGAGCUUAGCUGGAGGAAUGGCGAGAGGCCCCGGUGGCAGGGAUGAGCGGGGUCAUUGGCGGUUGUUAGCAGCAGAGCGUCCUCAGUGCUUAUCUACCUGAGCAGUCACUCUGGCCGCUGCGUGGAGGGUGAUCAGAGCCAGGGAGCAGGCAGCAGCGGACACAGGGACGAGGACCCGCAGCCCUGCCACGCUGUCCCCAAAUCGCAGUCUGCACUUCCUCAGGACAAGCGGGAGAGGUGGGAGCUAUCACUCCAGCUUCCAGUAAGGAUCCGUUUCAUAUCCUUUCACAAAGCCAAGCACAGUUCGGGGCAUGUAGCUGUCCCUUUAAUAAUGUUUGAUGUUUGAUUAAUAAGUUAAACAACCCAUUGAGUCCAUCUACUCAAAGAAUCAGACAAACCAAUUAAAAGGCCUGACCACAAAGCCCCGACACAGCAGCUGCUUGCCGGCCCUGGUCAGUUGCUUGACCGAGGAGCCUUGUCAAGCUCAAUCAACAGGGUGAAGCCAGGAGUGCACGAUGACACGGAGUUUGAGUCUGCCAUUGUUCUCUCUCGCCACUGCUGGGCUGGGGCUCUGUGCCUCCAGGAAUCUGGAGGAACACAAACACAUUCUUUUCCAAACCUGGCAUUUCCAGUCUUCGGUCGUUUGUCAUCAUCUAGCCCGACCAGGAGCAGCCCCGAGUCUGAGUGAGGCUCAGCAGGGCCCACCAGGCAGGGCCCACGCUCACGCUUUAUCUGCUUCCUCUCAGAGUCACUGUUCAACACGGCAUCUUUGGGCUUGCCUCGCAAACCGGGCCUGAGUCACUGCAGAGGCUGGGGAAAGGCAGGCAUACUUCCUGUUCUAGCCAUGCAGCUCUGGGGCCAGACUGCAGCAUAGAUGCCAAAACUGGCUCGCUGCCAUCCUCAGAUAAAAGGCAUAGGGGACUAGAGCGUCUGCCCUGCGCAGCCUCUCCUGGGAGAAGCCCCACCCAGCCCCGUUGAGAGAGUAUAGGAAGAUUCCUUGACUGACACUCUGGGAGUGAACCCCUGACCCAAAAGUGUUUCCUACAUAGAGUGGCCUUUAACUUGCAGCCUGGCUUGAAAAGGAACUUUAUAAUAGAGGUCUUUUAUUGCCAUUCAAGAGCUGUAGCAACCAAGGCACAGAGAUGUUGAGCAAGUUGUCCGAGGUCACAGAGAGGCCGGGUGGCAAAGCAGGAAUGGAAUUGAUCCUCCAUCUUCAAGAGUUGAUGCGUAGGAGCUUGGCCUGAAUUUUAACCACGGAAGCAUGAAAAGUGGCGGAUACCCCACUUUGGGACAUGGUAAGCAGGUACUAGAAGUCUGAAACUUCUUUGGGGAUCUCUGAAUUCUGGGACACCUUCCUAGGGCAGCUGGUCUCAUUCCAGUCAUCUCUCUGCCUAGUGCUCUUUUUCCCACUACAGAACAGGAAGUUUGAGAAGUGACAGGCCACAGGCACAGGCCAGCCCUGCUGAGAAAUCGCCAUCAGGAGCAAACCACAUGUCCUGUGAACUCGGGGACCUGCCAGCAAAAUUCCCUGAUGCUGGAACUUCGGGCAGAGAGCGCCGGUCUUGCGCUGAUUGGCGUCAGGAGCCAAGUGUGGUGGGGGAGGGGAGUCAGCACAUAUUUCUCCGCUGAACUCCGUUUCCCAUUUGGUUUGGCAGCUUGUUUUUCAUGAAAUGAGGCCAAUCCACGAAUUCCGUGUCAACAUCGCUCCUUUUACUGGAACCGCAAAGGCAGCCCCCCGGGACUGGCUCCAUCUCUGGGCAGACAUCAAAACAACCCCUUUUCGCUUUGAAAGCAUAGCAGGCGUCUCAGAGCCCCCCACUUCCUUACCUGUGUUUCCCUCUGAGGAAGAAAGCAAGGACCAGGGCCGUGGCUGCAGUGCCCCGAGCUCACUGUUGGCACAGCAGCCCUGGGCUGGCCACGCUGAGGGUUCUCCUGGCCCUGCUGCCUGUCUUCCCUUUCUUGUGCGUCCAAGGCCCGGAGGCUCCUUCCUGCCUGCUUGUCUCGCUUCCAGGACUAGCUUGAUGAGUAGGCAUGGCCUCCCCAGCCCCUCAGCUGUCACCCUGCCACAGCUGCCCUCCUGCUGCGACCUCAGGGGGUUGCAGAAGGUGCUGUGGCAUCCAAAAUCCACUCCCCAUCAGGGACUAGAGCCGAACUUCCGAGGCCUCCAGGGCUCCUCUGCUCUGGGGAGGGGGCCUCCUCUUAGCUGCUCCAACACCUGCUGCCCAGCGGGGUGGGGCCGGUGUGCAGGUAGGAGCAAGCAGGCACAUUUGGGAAGGAGAAUAAUAGUGGGUAGUGAGUAGCGGACAGUCAGAAGUGGCUUUAUUGGCAACUGGUACGUACUGAUGGGCACGUCAGCAGCAAGGUUCACUGCAUACGAGGUUGUCUGCAUGAGAGAGGAGGUGGGAGAAAGGCUGUCCUGGGGCAUGGGGUGACCUGGCUCCAGGUCACCUUUCUCUAGGAAGGUCCUGCUCUGUGUCCUCUCGACACCCUGUGCUUCUCUUGUGGCUGCAGCCCCUGUCACGGCCUCUGCACGCUCCUGUCUUCCCAGCUGCUGUCUUCCUCCCCAUCUCCUCCCAGGACCCAGCACCCUUGCGCAUAUGGUGAGGUCAGCGACCCCCUCCACUGUGUCAAGUGAGUGAAUGACUACUGGCUGCUCCUUGCAGUGCUGGGGAGACGAUGCAAGGGGCGGUGGGGUUGUCACGGCUCUAUCCCAAGGGGAGGUCCUGAGGCACCAACAGCGUAGCAGUUUUGCAGUGUGCCCGGAGUGUGAGUCUGGGCUCCAUGACUUACUAGCUGUGUGCUGGACAAGCUGUUUAUCUUUCUGUGCCUCAGUUUCUUCAUGUAUAAAAUAGAGAUAAUAAUACCUACCUAAUUUUUUUUGUGAGAAAUAAAUGAGUUAAUAUAUUUAAACUCCUUAAACAAAAAGUCUGAUAUUUUGUAAGCUCUUAAUAAAUGUCAGCUUAAGAAAUUUUUUUAAAACCCUAGAAGAGUCAGCUCUUGAAGCUGUCGUCAUUCAUUGCUGACUUCCUUUGUUCCCAUCUCGCUGGGCUCUUCCUAUUGCUAACGCGCUGGCCCGUUCCUGCCUCAGGGCCUCUGCACCUCUCUUCUCCCUGCCUGGCGUGCUCUUCCCCAGAUAUUCACACGGCUUCCUCCUUCACUUCAGGUAGGUCUUUACUGAAGUGCGAUUUCCUUGGAAGCCUUCCCUUUGGGCCUUAUCUAAAAGAGCAUACCCCUUGCCCUGUUUUGGGUUUCAUCAUGAGGGACUUACAGUAGAAUGCCCACGUGGGACUUGUGCAUUACAUUAUCUGAGUUUUGGUUGUGUCCACACUAAAAAGUCAGCUCCAUGAAGACGGGGACAUUGUUUCAUUCACUGUAUCAUUCCUGGUGCCCAGUAUAGUGUCUGCCACCUAACAGGUGCUUAGAAAUAGUUAUUGUUGGAUGGAUGGAGAGAUGGAUGGGUGGAUGAGUGGAUAGUUAGAUGGAUGGAUGGGUGGGUAGAUAGAUGGAUGGGUGGGUAGGUGGCUGGGUGGGUGGAUAGAUGUUUG
ensembl:lncRNA